CUUGCUCUUUCUAAUCAUUCGAACUUGUUUCUGUGUUUUAUUCCAACUUGCUAACCUCUAAGGUUGUUAGCUCGAGGCAAUGACCAUCAAUCUCUUGUUACCAAGCAUGUGUUCUCACCAUCGCCUAAGGUUGAAAUAAUUGAUUCUCUAUAUAAGCAUGUAUCAAACACUGUGGAUGAUGGCAUAAUUAGGUGAGUUUAUUGUCUUCAGACGGCACAAUUAAGCCAAUCCCUGGCUUGAGCAUUUCUUCCUUGUAACUAUUUGCUAUGAAAUUGUAGUACACACUACACAAAUUCGAUAGGAGAUACUUGCUGGUCUUUGUGUGAAGCGUCCAAUUCCAAGAUGUCUUAGGUACCUUGUAAAACAUUUCUUCCAAUCUUAGAGGCAACAGUGACAUUGUGCUGCAUUGCUUUACAGUGGGUUAGAAAAAAUAUGCAUAGGCUCAAUAUAGUUAUCGAAGAUACAUAUACUUUUAGCUGAUAAAUAAGUAUUACAUACAUUUGUUGAGCCUUUUGAACCUAUUAAAUAUUGAAAACGACUUUUUCAUGCACAAUAUUUUACUUUCCCUUUUAAAUCACGUCAUAUGUUGUGCCCAAAAACUUUUGCAGUUUAAUAUGGACACCAACUUAGGAUUCUUUUCUCGAAACUCCAAAGAAACCCAGAACAUUGAGCCAAAAGGAAUUUACGCUGGAUUACUAAGCUUUUGAUGGUGGAAUUAUAAUUGGGAAUGAAUGAGAAAUUGAGAAAAUGAAUAUUGAAAAGGUUUGUAAUCUUGAGAACAGAGGAAGAAACCCAUGACCUGCACAAUAACCUUGAGCAUGCUGUGGUAGAUGCUGAAAACUCUAAACAGAGAGCAUUCGAAGAAUCAGUGAGGUAGUGGAGAGCCUAAGAAGAUGUCUAGAUUUUUUUUCACAAAAUAUUUUGUUGUCUCCACUUCUCCUUCUGAGAAUCUAUUUUUUGUAGGGAGAAGGCAAUCUUUCCUUCAAGUAAAUAGUUGUGAAAGAUGAUGACAGGGAUUCAGGGCAUGACUACAUCAACAGCUUCAAGGGUUGUACCUUUGGCCAUCUGGUCUACCUUCUGCAAUCACCAUUUAACCCACUUCUUCAAUUGCACAGACUCUCUGGGAGUCACUUCCACAUGUUGUUUCUUUCAUCACUCCAUUAUUCCUCCACCAAGUCAACCUUCAAAGAGUUAUUUACGCGAGGCAUGGAGUCACGACAAGAUGAGGAGAAGCUUCAAUUUUUACACUUUUUGCUUGAUAGCUGUUAAUGAAUGCUUAGCAUGUAUUCGAUGAAAUGACUAUUAUUAUUUCCUUCGUUCCA